AUUGAACGCUGGCGGCAGGCCUAACACAUGCAAGUCGAGCGGAUGAAGGGAGCUUGCUCCUGGAUUCAGCGGCGGACGGGUGAGUAAUGCCUAGGAAUCUGCCUGGUCGUGGGGGAUAACGUCCGGAAACGGGCGCUAAUACCGCAUACGUCCUGAGGGAGAAAGUGGGGGAUCUUCGGACCUCACGCUAUCAGAUGAGCCUAGGUCGGAUUAGCUAGUUGGUGGGGUAAAGGCCUACCAAGGCGACUAUCCGUAACUGGUCUGAGAGGAUGAUCAGUCACACUGGAACUGAGAAACGGUCCAGACUCCUACGGGAGGCAGCAGUGGGGAAUAUUGGACAAUGGGCGAAAGCCUGAUCCAGCCAUGCCGCGUGUGUGAAGAAGGUCUUCGGAUUGUAAAGCACUUUAAGUUGGGAGGAAGGGCAGUAAGUUAAUACCUUGCUGUUUUGACGUUACCAACAGAAUAAGCACCGGCUAACUUCGUG
rnacentral:rRNA from 1 species